GCAAAGGAGUUCUCACGGAGAUUGUUCUGGU
rnacentral:piRNA from 1 species